rnacentral:rRNA from 1 species
CAUCGCCUGCAGCCAGGAUUGCAGGUACGGCCUGCCCAAUGAUUAAUUAAAUGGCCGCAGUAUUCUGACUGUGCAAAGGUAGCAUAAUCAUUUGUCUCUUAAUUAGAGGCUGGUAUGAAUGGCUAAACGUGGGGCAAUCUGUGUCACUUAUUAGCUUGAACUUAAUUUUUAAGUUAAAAAGCUUAAAUCUAAAAGCAGGACGAGAAGACCCCGUAGAUCUUUAUAUUGGAAAAUUUUUAUUUCUUAGUCGAUAAUAAUAAAAAUAUUGGUAAUAUUUUGUUGGGGUGACAUGAAGUAAUAAACACUUUUUUGAAAUACAAUAAUAGUAGGUUUAAUGAUCCGGAUCCGAUUAAAAAAUUAAGUUACCUCGGGGAUAACAGCGUAAUCUGCCUUGAGAGUUCUUAUCAAACGGCAGGGUUGCGACCUCGAUGUUGGAUUAAGAAUCCCACCAUGAGCAAUCCUGUGGUUGGGAGGUCUGUUCGACCUAUAAAUUCUUACAUGAUCU